GGGACAUCGGCCGCGGUCACGGCCGAGCCCUCCGCUGGGACAACGGGAGCUUCGGGGCUCCGCGACCCCAACCUCAGCCCGGCGGGACCCUCAGGAACCCCGCAUCCCCUCAGGGACCCCCCCGAGCCCCUUAAGGUAUUCCGCAUCCCUUUAGCUCCAGUGCGAUCCUCCGAGCCCCUCAAGGGAGUCCCGCGCUCAGCCGGCUGGGAUCCCUCGAGUUCCUCAGGGAAGCUCAGCCCGGAGGGAGCCCCGCACCUCCUCAGGGACUCCCACGUCCCUCAGUCCCGGCGGGACCCCCUCACGCCCCCCACACCGUCCCCGCUCACCUGGGGCCGCCGGGGCAGGAAAGGGCUCGCUCAGCCCCGGGAUGGGGAGGGAAGAGGCGCUGCAAGCCCAGCGCCGAGCCGGCCUGCGACGGCGGCGAGCGCGGCGCCUCCACCAAGUUUCCGGGCGGGGAAGAAAGUCGAAACCUACGUGAGAGGAGGAGGAGGAGGCAGCGCAGCCGCCCAGGUGUCACUCGCCCGCCCGGCACGGCUCAGCCCAGCCCUGCCCUCCCCUCACCGCCUCCGCCUCCUCCGCCGCCGCCGCCGCCUCCCGAGCCGCGCACACCCGGCGGCCUCGGCCCGCCCCGCCAGAGCAGCAGCGGCGGCUGGGGCGAGUCCGGGCCUCGACCGCCGGUGCCCUCAGGGCAUCGCCUCUGCCCUCGGGCACGUCCCGAGCCUCGACCGCCCGCUGCCCUCAGGGGAUCCCUGCUCCCUCAGGGCAUCCCCGCUGCCCUCAGGGCACCUCCCGGGCCUCGACCGCCCGUUGCCCUCAGGGCACCUCCCGGGCCUCGACCGCCCAUUGCCCUCAGGGCAUCCUCGCUGCCCUCAAGGGAUCCUCGCAGCCCUCGGGGCACCUCCCGGGCCUGGACCGCCCGCUCCCCUCACGGCAUCCCCGCUGCCCUCGGGCACGUCCCUGGCCUUGGCUUCCAGUCCCUUCAGAGCAUCCCCACUGCCCUUACCACAGUUUCCCCUCGAGGUAGUCUUGCUGCCCUUGGGGCAGCUCCCGCUCCCCUCAGGGCAUCCCCCCGCUGCCCUUAGCACAAUUCCCCCUCGAGGUAUUCCUGCUCCCCUCAGAGCAUUCCUCCUUCCCUCACGGCAUCCCGGCUCCCUUCGGGACAUCUCUGCUGCCCUCAGGGCAAUCCCCAUCCCCGCAGGGCAUCCCUGCUUCCCUCAUGCCAGUUUCCCUCCUGGCAAUCCCUGCUCCCCUCAAAGCAUUCUUGCUCCCCUCAAAGCAUUCCUGCUCCCCUCAGAGGAAAAUAUGGCCCUGGAUACCAGGGAGUGCUGA
rnacentral:lncRNA from 1 species